UACGAAGGGGGCUAGCGUUGUUCGGAAUUACUGGGCGUAAAGCGCACGUAGGCGGAUUUGCCAGUCAGGGGUGAAAUCCCGGGGCUCAACCUCGGAACUGCCUCUGAUACAGCAAGUCUUGAGUCCGGAAGAGGUGGGUGGAAUUCCUAGUGUAGAGGUGAAAUUCGUAGAUAUUAGGAAGAACACCAGUGGCGAAGGCGGCCCACUGGUCCGGUACUGACGCUGAGGUGCGAAAGCGUGGGGAGCAAACGGG
rnacentral:rRNA from 1 species